rnacentral:rRNA from 1 species
UGAUUGAAAUAAUAAUCAGUAUAACCUGCUCAAUGUAAAUCAAUAGCCGCAGAAAUCUGUGCUAAGGUAGCAUAAUCACUUGCCUUUUAAUUAUAGGCUAGAAUGAAUGGUUCAACGUGUAAAUUAUUUUAUUAAUUAAAAUACUUUAAUUUAACAUGUAAGUAAAAAGGCUUACAUAAUUAGAAGGACGACAAGACCCUAUCAAACUUUACAUUAUUGUUUCGCUGGGGUAGCGAAAAAAUAACAUCUUUAUUCUUUUUCAUUAUUUAUCUAUUUUAUUAAAUAAUUUCAAGUUACUGUAGGGAUAACAGCAUAAUAUUCUUUUUAAGCUCUUAUUUUAAAGAAAGCUUAUGACCUCGAUGUUGAAUUAAAUAAUUCUAUUUAGAGCAAAAUCUUAAUAAGAAAGUCUGUUCGACUUUUAAACUUUU